UACGUAGGGUGCAAGCGUUGUCCGGAAUUAUUGGGCGUAAAGAGCUCGUAGGCGGCCUGUCGCGUCUGCUGUGAAAACUCGGGGCUUAACCCCGGGCCUGCAGUGGGUACGGGCAGACUAGAGUGCGGUAGGGGAGACUGGAAUUCCUGGUGUAGCGGUGAAAUGCGCAGAUAUCAGGAGGAACACCGGUGGCGGAGGCGGGUCUCUGGGCCGUAACUGACGCUGAGGAGCGAAAGCGUGGGGAGCGAACAGG
rnacentral:rRNA from 1 species